GCUGGAGCGUGUGUGGAUGUGAGCACUCUUUUCUCUCCUAUUAUUUGAGUGGCUGCAGGUACUGGUGUCUGCCUCUUUGCCUCUGUGCUAGAGGGAUAAAGAGGGAAAGACAGAGGACUAGUGCUUCAUAUCCCCCCUCUGGCCUCCCCAUCUCCCUGCUCCCUGUCACUCCAUCCUUCCUUCCUCCCUCCCGGACCACCCGUCAGCGGCUGGAUCAACCUGCCCGGACCUUCCUCCCACAACCCCUUUGACUAUCCUCACUUCACCGUCCCAUCUUGUGAACUGAGUGCAGGAAUUUCUGGUUACUGGGAGCUGAAGACUGGAUUUGGCAGUGCAGUCACAGACAAUCUUGGUCUGAAAGAGCAGAACCUUUAAAUACAAAUUUAAAAGUAAAC
rnacentral:lncRNA from 1 species